rnacentral:misc_RNA from 1 species
GCUUUAUAAAAAGGCGUUUCAUUUCUCCUGCACACGCAGGAUUGGAAAGAAGAAGAGACGAGAAAAUGGAGAAACUGACUUUCUGUUGUAUGUUGCUUCUCUCUCUUGUCGCGAUAUCUCGUGCGAAAUUUCCCGACGACCAUCAUCAUCUCCCUCUUCCGAGAUCGACAUUCCCGUCCGUUCAGGCUGGGAAGCUGAUUCGGGAGCUUAAUCUCUUCCCGGCGAAGGACGUCAACGUCUUACGUGACGGCGACGCUGGUCUUCUUGAUGGAAGGAAUAGAAUCGUCGAGAAGCGGUUUAGGUUUCCGAAUGUCGUUGACGACGAGUUUGGUGGGGUUUCUGUGGAGGAUUUGGGCCACCAUGCCGGUUAUUAUAAGAUUGCGAACUCCCACGCUGCCAGAAUGUUUUAUUUCUUCUUUGAGUCACGCAACAGCAAGAAGGACCCUGUUGUUAUUUGGUUGACUGGAGGACCAGGGUGUAGCAGUGAGUUGGCAAUGUUUUAUGAAAAUGGUCCUUUUACUAUUGCAGACAACAUGUCUCUUGUAUGGAAUCCGUAUGGUUGGGACAAGGCAUCAAAUCUUCUAUAUGUUGACCAACCUAUUGGGACUGGAUUCAGUUUUAGUUCUGAUAUACGUGACAUUCGUCACAAUGAACAGGGAGUUAGUAAUGACCUGUAUGACUUCUUACAGGCCUUCUUUUCAGAGCAUCCUGAAUUUGUCAAUAAUGAAUUUUACAUAACUGGAGAAUCAUAUGCUGGUCACUAUAUUCCUGCUUUUGCUGCUCGAGUUCACCAAGGAAACAAAGCUAAAGAAGGAAUUCAUAUAAACCUUAAGGGAUUUGCCAUUGGCAAUGGGCUUACUGAUCCUGCAAUCCAGUAUGGAGCUUACACAGAUUAUGCUUUGGAUAUGGGAUUAAUUAAACAAUCUGACUAUAAUCGUAUAAACAAGGUGCUUCCAGUGUGUGAAAUGGCAAUCAAGCUUUGUGGCACUGAUGGCACAGUCUCAUGCAUGGCCUCUUAUUUUGUUUGCAACAGUAUAUUCAGUAGCAUCAUGUCACGUGCUGGUGAUAUAAAUUACUACGAUAUCAGAAAGAAAUGUGAGGGGAGCCUCUGCUAUGACUUCUCGAACUUGGAGAAAUUUCUGAACCUGAAAUCAGUUAGGGAUUCGCUUGGCGUUGGGGAUAUAAGCUUUGUGUCCUGUAGCCCUACAGUGUAUCAGGCCAUGCUGAUGGACUGGAUGAGGAAUCUUGAAGCUGGCAUUCCUGCUCUUCUUGAGGAUGGAAUCAGGGUGCUUAUCUAUGCUGGAGAGGAGGAUCUCAUAUGCAAUUGGCUUGGAAAUUCAAGAUGGGUUCAUGCAAUGGAAUGGUCUGGCCAGAAAGAUUUUGGAGCCGCCCCAACUGCUCCAUUUGUGGUUGAGGGUGCAGAAGCAGGACAAAUGAAAAGCCAUGGUCCUCUUACUUUCCUCAAGGUGCAUGAGGCUGGUCACAUGGUUCCAAUGGAUCAGCCAAAAGCUGCAUUACAGAUGCUAAAAAGCUGGAUGCAAGGGAAGCUUGCUGUGACUAGAACUAAAGAAGGAAUUUCUCCUAAGUGAUCACCCCAUUUAAAUUUUUUUUCCAUUUUCUCAGAAUAAUCAACCAUAGUCUCACAUUUAUUGUUUUUUAAGUUCUGUAUGCUGUGAUAUACUGGGCUCUACUGAACUCAAGGACAUCAUUCUCAACUCUUCACAGAUAAAAUAAAAAUAAAAAAAGAAACACAUAUUUUUUCAAAAAUUCAUUUGGGAAAAAGCAAGGGCAAUAACAGUUGUUUACUUAAAAUCUUUACCUGGAACCUUAAAUUCAUGUCUCAUCAGCAUUAGUAUUGAAUUCUCAAGUGUCAUAAACAGAAUUCAGCACUAAGAAUUUAUCAACAAAAAUACACCGAUAACAGCAAAUAACAACAGAAGAAUUUCUCUUUUUUGAUUUUCAAUCCUCUAGUGCCAUUUAAAAUAAUGCAAUGCUUAUAUUAGAUGUCCCAACUUCUAUAGACAGAGGAAUGACAACAGAAAUCUUCAAACCAUCUGGCCUGUAAGGAAAUAACAUAGGGCUCCUAGCAAAACACACACCCAUGCCAAAUAAAAAAUACAUGAAAGAAUUUAAGAGAAGAAUCAGGAACUUGCUCUUACUCCAUACAAUUCCCUUAAGGUCUCAAUUACUGGCCGGAAACCAGUCCUCAAAGGCAAAACUGAGACUGCUCGCAAGUGUUGUGCAUUACCAUUCUUGGGUUUUGACAGUGUCAUCUUAAACAUCUCCCCUUCUAGAAUUGUUCCAGCAUUGGCGGCUAUGAAACACAAAUACCCUUAAUUCAUCAUCAACCAUAUGUGUAUGUUCGUGAAACUCUUCAAAAAAGUUGAGAGAUUUACCAGCAAAAGGGUGAAUCUUGGCGAAGUCAAAAAAACUCAUCAGCAGAGCAUCCAAACAAGACUCUAGCAGCCCUAUCAAAGCAUAUGACAUUAAGCACCUUGGUAUCAGUGGCUAUUGAAACCUGCCCACCAAAAGAAAAUGCCCAUUAAAAACGAAAAAUAGAUUGCCUUUAAGACCCACCUGCAAGAACCAAACAAGAAACGCUCACAAGGAGGUGAAAGAGGCGCUUGGAAGAGGAGGAAGAGGAGGAGUUGAAGCUGUUACAGAAUCUGCAGAGAGAAUUAGGAGCGUCAGGAAGAGUUCCCUCGCAGAGGGAGCAGGCUCUGUAAAAAAGGUUGGAAUUGUCAAUGGCUAGUACCGUACACAUUACUAUUGUGGGAUUGUUACCCUCCAUGGCUUUUCACUUUCUGGGGAUUCUUACCUAAGCUCUACAGAGUUUCUUUUCUUGCCAAGGCAGAGUGAAAGCCUUCCAUGAUCGCCGUUGGCGCCGAAUGCUUGUAAAGAGGUGCCUUCGAUUUGUUUUGCUGGCAGCGCUAAUGAAAAUAACGAGGCUUGGAGCAUGUUCGGUA